rnacentral:lncRNA from 1 species
CAAGAACCUCUUCUGUACCACUUAUAUCCUUUCUCUGACCAGCUAUCACCCACCAUGCAACCACUGACAUCACUGCUGAAGCCAACCAACACUUCUCAGGUGGACAGUCAGAGGACAGCCAGAAGUGAAUCACUACGAGAAAACAGAUAA